UCUCCGUUGGUGAACCAGCGGAGGGAUCAUUAUCGAGUUUAUAACUCCCAAACCCUAUGUGAACUUACCACUUGUUGCUUCGGCGCGCGCUUCGGUGCCGCCGAGGACACUUAAACUCUUCGUUUUUAUAAGCAUUUCUGAGUGGCCGAAAGGCAAAAUACAAAUGAAUCAAAACUUUCAACAACGGAUCUCUUGGUUCUG
rnacentral:misc_RNA from 1 species